GCCCUCGUCGUUCAACGGAUAGGACGUGACUUUGCGGAAGUCAUGAUAGAGGUUCGAUUCCUCUCGAGGGCA
rnacentral:tRNA from 1 species